rnacentral:lncRNA from 1 species
UCUGGGAGUGGUGGUUUCUGUCCGCUAAGCGGCGAGGUCCUGCCCACUCAGUGCUUAGUAUGGGCCAGUUAGAGAUUUCACUGGGAAUUUACAUUCCCAGUAUCCUCGAAGGCCGCGGAGGACUGGGGCUGGGGCUGUUUGAAGUUGGUGCGCGGCGGGCUGCGCGAGAGGAGUAACAGAAAACAUCCCUCAAGGCGGUGCGAGGGAGGCUUCCGGGCCAUUCCAAGUCCUCGGAGGACGCACCGAGUGGAGACUGGCGUAUUUAGCCCCACUUGGAAGGCCUGGCACUGCCUGAGAGAACAACACUUCCUCUUGUGGUAAAAGGAAAAGAGUGGACUUAAGAGGACCUAGGAGCUCCCAGACUCCGGAAGGGCUCUUGUCUCAGAAAGGCGACCUGUAGGGCAGAAAUUUUUAAAUCCUAUGUAUAUACUACCUAGUUUUAGAAAUAAAUAGAGAAUGGUUUGCAGAUAGUGCAAAGUGGAAGCCUUUUGUUGUCUUCCAGGAGAGAAGUGAUGGUGGCUGUAGUUAGGGGAGGUAAACAGUGGGCAGAGAAACUUUGUGCCCACUUUGAAAAACAUGUGAGGACUAUUUUGGCGAUAAAAUGAUUAGAACUAGGCGUGGAUGGAUUUAAGGGGAAGGAGGAUGUCAAAAGAUAAUUUCCAAGUCCCUAGCCUAUGUAGCUGGUGGCUGCCGUCCUGUUUGACAUGGUCGGGUUCAGGUCUGUGAAGCUGGAGACGGAUACCUUCAGAGGAAAUGUGGAGCAGACCAUGAAUGUAAGAUGUGGACUCAUAAGGCAGGCUUCAACUCCAAAGCAGGGUCCAGGUCUCCUUUGCAGUGAAACCAGAGCCUUUCAACACUCAGUCAAGAGCCUACCUUCAUGCCAGCUGGACAUAGAGCAAAGAGGAAAGAAAAAAAGCACACCAAUAUUCAUGGCAGCGUUAUUUACUAUAACCAAAAGAUGGAAACAACUCAAAUGUCCAGCAACAGAUGAAUAGAUAAACCAACUCAGUUUAUACAUACAAUGGAUACUAUUCAGCCAUACAAAGAAGGAAUUUCUGAUAUACUAAGCGAAAUAAGGUAGUCACAGAAGAACAGAUAUUCUUUAUGAUUCCACUUAUAAAAAAGAAAUGAUAAAAAGAAAAUUUUAUCAUCUUAAAAAUAUCUUAUUUCUAGAAGACCAUCUUGAGGUCACUUUAUCAGAGGUGGAGGAAUUAAGGACAAGUCCCACACCCUUCAAAACUACCCAACACAAUUUAUAGUAAAGGAAAUGCAGAAGUGUAAAACGGCUUCCCUUAAGGCUCUCUGAUGGUAAGGUAGCAGUCAGGUAUAGGGUUGAUAUAGAACUGCAAGACCCAGGUAUAGAAGCUGGGUCCAGAGCAGACUGAGGAGUAGGAGCUAGUGUUGCUAAGCAAAGAGGCAGAAGCUUAGCCACAGAACACAGGGUAGCCCCCAAACGUGAAGCCAGCAAAGGGUCAGAUUUAAGCAGUUGCAGGUCAGUAUGAGCCAGAACAGGAAGAGAAGCAGGGUAGGAGCCUAUAAAUAUGCCUUUCAAGACAUCGAGAAGACAUGCAGGCUAGGUACAAAAAGGAGCUCUGGCCAGGUUCUGGGAUUCAGAGCAGCCAGGCAGAUUGAGCUUCUGAGCUUCCCAGAGUGACAACUUUGGGUGGCAAUGAUUGUCUCCUUCCUUGAUCCUCAAUCCUCUAGAAUGGGAAUACCUGGCCCCACUUGGUGUUUCUGGGGUUGAGCUACAACAGACAACCUGUGAGUUCCAGGUGUAUCAGUUUUCUAGAGUUGCCCCAAUAAAGUUCCACAGAGUAAGUGGCUUAACGUG